AUGAGGCUAAUCUGCUGGAAUUGCCGGGGGUUGGGGAACGACCCGGCAAUUCAGGGUCUUCUGGAACUCCAUAAGAGGGAGGACCCCGAUGUUCUUUUCUUGUCGGAAACAAGGAUGGAGCAACGGAGACUUAAAUGGUUAAUAUGGAAGAUGAACAUGACGUGCAUGGUAGCGAAGGGCAGCGAGGGCCGAGGAGGGGGUUUGGCUUUGUUCUGGAAGAAGGAAAUGGACUUGCGGGUGGUAGGAUUCCUGUCAAAAUAUCACAUUGAUGCUGAGAUUACAGAAGAGGAUCGGUUCAAGUGGAGGUUUACGGGGAUAUAUGGGGAGCCGAAGAUGGAAGAGAAAGGAAGAACCUGGAAGCUGAUGAGAACCCUGAAAAACCAAAACAAUAUUCCAUGGUUGUGUGGGGGAGAUUUUAAUGAGCUGUCACAUGCCUGGGAGAAAGAGGGGGGGUGUGCCGAGGAGCCAACGAUGUAUGGAUAA
rnacentral:rRNA from 1 species